rnacentral:rRNA from 1 species
UGCUACUUCCUUGAGAAGGCACUCUGGCAGGACUGCCUAGGAAACUAGGAGGAAGGUGGGGAUGACGUCAAGUCCUCAUGGCCCUUAUGUCCAGGGCUACACACGUGUUACAAUGGCUAGUACAAAGGGAAGCGACCCCGCGAGGGUGAGCAAAUCUCGACAAAGCUAGUCUAAGUUCGGAUUGAAGUCUGCAACUCGACUUCAUGAAGUUGAAAUCGCUAGUAAUCGCGUAUCAGAACGACGCGGUGAAUACGUUCUCGGACCUUGUACACACCGCCCGUCACACCACGAAAAUCGUCUACACCCGAAGUUGUCUUAGCUAACCUGCAUAAGGAGGCGGAUAAUCAAGGUGUGGAGGGUAAUUGGGGUG